GCGCCCGCUUUGUUUCCGGCAACAGUUUGUUUACAUUUUGUUCCUCGAGCCAGAAUACCAGAGGAUUUUUAACAUACCGUUAUUUUAGAUGUGACAAGGAAUGGCAAGUGUGCGUUCUUUAGCUCGAGUAGCUGCCAUUGGAGGUGUGGUUGUUCUGAGCAGCGGAUUCUAUUUCAAGCUUCGCAUUCAAGACAAUAUCAAGCAGUCAGAGUACUUCAAGGAGAGUUUAAAGAUUCUAAGGUCAAAUAGAGGUGUUGCACAUUUGAUGGGAGAGCCUAUAAGAGACGGGAGCUUGGACCUUGGAGACAGUGCCAAUAAUUUUUGCACGGGGAAGGAAGCCCAGUUUCAGGUACCCGUCAAAGGAUCCAAAUUAUCUGGAACCCUGUACCUGUUUGCAUCACGCCCUGAUUACGGCCAGCAGUGGAACGUAGACAGACUCGAGCUCGGCCUCAAGGAUGAGACGGACAGAAGAAUCCUCCUCCAUGUAUCCGAUCAACAGACUGAGGAAUUAACGUAAGGCAGACGUAUAUACCUCCUGCCUCUUGUGGUUUAGAACUGAGUCGCAUCAGGUUUUGUUGACAGUGAAAAUAUGGAAGCCUACCAGGAAGGCAAUAUAGAUGAGGAGUUGCGCCCUGAUGCUGAUGAAAUGAGGGCAGCUGCUUCAGAUGUUUUGAUCCCUAGAGCAGAUAUUAAUAAUCUUGGAGACAGAGAGUCCC
rnacentral:misc_RNA from 1 species